rnacentral:rRNA from 1 species
GCAAGUCGAACGGUGAUAUCAGGGCUUGCUCUGGUUGAUCAGUGGCGAACGGGUGAGUAACACGUGAGUAACCUGCCCCUGACUCUGGGAUAACUUCGGGAAAUCGGAGCUAAUACCGGAUACGAGACGCAUCCGCAUGGGUAGUGUCUGGAAAGAUUUAUCGGUCUGGGAUGGACUCGCGGCCUAUCAGCUUGUUGGUGAGGUAAUGGCUCACCAAGGCGACGACGGGUAGCCGGCCUGAGAGGGCGACCGGCCACACUGGGACUGAGAUACGGCCCAGACUCCUACGGGAGGCAGCAGUGGGGAAUAUUGCACAAUGGGCGAAAGCCUGAUGCAGCGACGCCGCGUGAGGGAUGAAGGCCUUCGGGUUGUAAACCUCUUUCAGCAGGGAAGAAGCGCAAGUGACGGUACCUGCAGAAGAAGCGCCGGCUAACUACGUGCCAGCAGCCGCGGUAAUACGUAGGGCGCAAGCGUUGUCCGGAAUUAUUGGGCGUAAAGAGCUCGUAGGCGGUUUGUCGCGUCUGCUGUGAAAACUCGAGGCUCAACCUCGGGCUUGCAGUGGGUACGGGCAGACUAGAGUGCGGUAGGGGAGACUGGAAUUCCUGGUGUAGCGGUGGAAUGCGCAGAUAUCAGGAGGAACACCGAUGGCGAAGGCAGGUCUCUGGGCCGCAACUGACGCUGAGGAGCGAAAGCAUGGGGAGCGAACAGGAUUAGAUACCCUGGUAGUCCAUGCCGUAAACGUUGGGCACUAGGUGUGGGGCUCAUUCCACGAGUUCCGUGCCGCAGCAAACGCAUUAAGUGCCCCGCCUGGGGAGUACGGCCGCAAGGCUAAAACUCAAAGAAAUUGACGGGGGCCCGCACAAGCGGCGGAGCAUGCGGAUUAAUUCGAUGCAACGCGAAGAACCUUACCAAGGCUUGACAUACACCGGAAAAGUGCAGAGAUGUGCUCCCCGCAAGGUCGGUGUACAGGUGGUGCAUGGUUGUCGUCAGCUCGUGUCGUGAGAUGUUGGGUUAAGUCCCGCAACGAGCGCAACCCUCGUCCUAUGUUGCCAGCGGGUCAUGCCGGGGGACUCAUAGG